rnacentral:rRNA from 1 species
UACAGAGGUCCCAAGCGUUGUUCGGAUUCAUUGGGCGUAAAGGGUGCGUAGGCGGUGCGGAAAGUCGGGUGUGAAUCCCCCAGCUCAACUGGGGAAUUGCGCCUGAAACUACCGUGCUCGAGGAAGACAGAGGUACGCGGAACUUAGGGUGGAGCGGUGAAAUGCGUUGAUAUCCUAAGGAACACCGGUGGCGAAAGCGGCGUACUGGGUCUUAUCUGACGCUGAGGCACGAAAGCUAGGGUAGCGAACGGG